UACGUAGGUGGCAAGCGUUGUCCGGAUUUACUGGGCGUAAAGAGCGCGCAGGCGGUCGUUCAAGUCGCGUGUGAAAGCCCCCGGCUCAACUGGGGAGGGUCACGCGAUACUGAUCGACUGGAAGGCAGGAGAGGGUAGUGGAAUUCCCGGUGUAGUGGUGAAAUGCGUAGAUAUCGGGAGGAACACCAGUGGCGAAGGCGGCUUUCUGGGACGGUACCGACGCUGAGACGCGAAAGCGUGGGGAGCGAACAGG
rnacentral:rRNA from 1 species